AUACUUACCUGGACGGGGUCAAUGGGCGAUCAAGAAGGCUCAUGACCUAGAUCAAUGGCCCACAUUGCACUUUGUGGUUUUGUGGUUUUGUUGGUUUACCAUCUCCCCAACCAGGAGAGUGGACGUCAUAAUUUGUGGCGGAGGGGUACGCGUCCGCGCGGCCCCUA
rnacentral:snRNA from 1 species